UGGGGGAUAUUGCACAAUGGGCGAAAGCCUUAUGCAGCGAGUCCUCGUGGGGGAUGAAGGCCUUCGGGUUGUAAACUUCUUUUGCUCUGAACAAGGCGCACCAUGGGGUGUGUUGAGUGUAGGGGUUGAUUAGCGCCGGCUAACUACGUGCCAGCAGCCGCGGUAAUACGUAGGGCGCGAGCGUUGUCCGGAAUUAUUGGGCGUAAAGGGCUUGUAGGUGGCUGGUUGCGUCUGUCGUGAAAGCUCAUGGCUUAACUGUGGGUUUGCGGUGGGUACGGGCUGGCUUGAGUGCAGUAGGGGAGGCUGGAAUUCCUGGUGUAGCGGUGGAAUGCGCAGAUAUCAGGAGGAAUACCGGUGGCGAAGGCGGGUCUCUGGGCUGUUACUGACACUGAGGAGCGAAAGCAUGGGGAGCGAACAGG
rnacentral:rRNA from 1 species